rfam:Salmo salar isolate Sally breed double haploid chromosome ssa04, whole genome shotgun sequence.
UCUUAAGAUAAUUGUAAGUCUCUCUGGAUAAGAGCAUCUGCAAAAUGACUAAAA